UUUAAAGACUGAUUGCUGUCUUGGUUCAAAGCAUUUACCUUGGCAAAAGAGAGUUAAUGCUUCAGUUUUCUGCUUUAUUGGCAAAUGUCUUGCAGUUACCACUGCCUACUGUUGGUAAGUAUUAUACUGGAAAACAAGCAGAAACAUUUUGCUUAAGCGUAGCUGUUGCAGCUACAAUUUAUUUUGUGAUUGUUGUGCACAUGUGGACUAUUCAAGGAGGAGAGCUGAUUUUGGAUCCUACCACCACAUUAUGACUUACUAAUGUUAUAAUUUAGGAACAGCAGCUAUAACAACAGUCUUUCUCUCACUCCUCUUGUAGUUUUAGAUACUUUCUUGCUUGCUUCCUUGCUUUUUUUUUUUUUCUUUCUUUCUUGUUUGUUUGUUUGUUUUUGAGUUAUUUGAGUCUCUUUUUUAGUUUUCUUUUUAUGAUGGAGGCUUGCAAUGGUUCAGCUCUACUCCUGAAUACUGCCACGUGCAGUUUUAUGCAGUGUGAGCCAUUCUAGGUCCCAUGAUGAGAAAUAAUUCAUGGAGCAUUUAAAUUGUUCAUCGACCACAGGCAUGUGAUGAAGAGUGACUUGAGUGAGAAGGUCCCAUCUGGGCUGCUGAGCUACACUGACUGCAUGGUCCUGCUCCAGCAUUCAGAGCAGCAGGAAGCCCAGCCACUGUGCAGACAGAUGAGAAAAAGGUAGCCGCAUCACUCAACUGUUGGCACAAUGAACUGAAAUAGAAAAAAAUGCUCUUUGCACCACAGUCUCCACCAAUACAAGCUAUAUCUCAUCUCCUCCCAAGCCACAUCCAUGGCAGCCAGGCCACAAGGUGUAUGGCAAUGGAAAAUCUGGAGCAACCUGCAACAAGCUGUUUUAACUUCAUAGAACUGAACGAGGAAGGUUUCUCUUUCUGCGUUUUUGUCUCUUGGGUAACUAUGUUGUACCACUCUUGCAAUAAAGCUGAUUGAAUCUGAUUCUCAGAUUCAGCAUGUAAUUCAUCUAACAGCCAUUCACUGCUUUGUAUAUGACAAAACAAUAGAAUUCUCAUCUUGAUUAUGAUCCCUUAAUCUAAAACAACCGGCCGUAAUGGACGCUAACAUUUAAAUCUAUCCAAACCAGAAAAAUGACUCUUCAAACCGUUCAUUACUUAGAGAGUUAUGAUUUUGCUGCAAUCAUGUGAAGCUGGCAGACUGUUUAUAAAGAAAAGUUUCACCUGAAUUACUAUAGUUAAAAUCCUUUCCUCCAGGGAAAUGUGACCUAGAGAAAUGUUUCAUAUUAUCCCAGGAAAAAGAGCCAUGCUGAAAAGAUUAGAAAACAUCCCAUGCACACAUGCACACAUAUGCUUACAUGCACGCACACUCUCCCACCCCUAGCAGUACUGCGGGUAGCAGAAGGAACAGUGCACUUUCACAGACUCCUGCCUUGUGCUCAAAGGAAAUGCAGCAGACAUUUAAAUAUUUCCAAACCAAACAAGACAUCCUGAAGGAUUCUCCUCCUG
rnacentral:lncRNA from 1 species